ensembl:lncRNA
GUUAGGUAUAGGGUUAGGGGUAGAAUUAGGGGUAGUGUUAAAGGUAUAUUGUUUUGGUUUAGGGUUAGGGUUAUGUUCAGGGUUUAGGAUGGAAUUAGGCCUAGGGUUAUGGUUAGGUAUAGGGUUAGGGGUAGAAUUAGGGGUAGUGUUAAAGGUAUAUUGUUUUGGUUUAGGGUUAGGGUUAUGUUCAGGGUUUAGUUAGGUUUUGGGUUAGGGUUAGGGAUAUGUUUAGGGUUAUAUUUAGCAUUUGGGUUAGUGUUAGGGUUAGGUUAGGGUUACAGUUAGGGUUAGGGAUUGGGUUAGGGUUAGGGUAAGGGUUAGUGUUAGGGUUACGGUUAAGUGAAAAUCACGCGUUUUCUCUACGAGAAUCCCCCAUUUAAGCAAAAAUCACGCGUUUUCACUUUGAGAAUCCCCCAUUUAACCCAAAAAUCACACGUUUUCUCUUCGCAAAUCCCCCAUUUAAGCGAAAAUCACGCGUUUUCACUUCGGAAAUACCCCAUUUAAGCGAAAAUCACGCGUUUUCUCUUCGAAAAUCCCCCAUUUAAGCGAAAAUAACGCAUUUUCAUCUUCGCAAAUCCCCCAUUUAAGCGAAAAUCACGUGUUUUCUCUUCGCAAAUCCCUUAUUUAAGCGAAAAUCACGUGUUUUCUCUUCGCAAAUCCCCCAUUUAACGAAAAAUCACGCGUUUUCUCUUCGAAAAUCCCCCAUUUAAGCGAAAAUCACGCAUUUUCAUCUUCGCAAAUCCCCCAUUUAACCGAAAAU